rnacentral:rRNA from 1 species
UACGUAGGGUGCGAGCGUUUGUCCGGAAUUACUGGGCGUAAAGAGCUCGUAGGUGGUUUGUCGCGUUGUCCGUGAAAACUCACAACUCAAUUGUGGGCGUGCGGGCGAUACGGGCAGACUGGAGUACUGCAGGGGAGACUGGAAUUCCUGGUGUAGCGGUGAAAUGCGCAGAUAUCAGGAGGAACACCGGUGGCGAAGGCGGGUCUCUGGGCCGAUACUGACGCUGAGGAGCGAAAGCGUGGGGAGCGAACAGG